UACGUAGGGUGCGAGCGUUGUCCGGAAUUAUUGGGCGUAAAGGGCUCGUAGGCGGUUUGUCGCGUCGGGAGUGAAAACGCCGUGCUUAACACGGCGCUUGCUUUCGAUACGGGCAGACUAGAGGUAUGCAGGGGAGAACGGAAUUCCUGGUGUAGCGGUGAAAUGCGCAGAUAUCAGGAGGAACACCGAUGGCGAAGGCAGGUCUCUGGGCAUUAACUGACGCUGAGGCGCGAAAGCGUGGGGAGCAAACAGG
rnacentral:rRNA from 1 species